rnacentral:misc_RNA from 1 species
GAUGAAGAACGUAGCGAAAUGCGAUACUUGGUGUGAAUUGCAGAAUCCCGUGAACCAUCGAGUCUUUGAACGCAAGUUGCGCCCGAAGCCAUCAGGUUGAGGGCACGUCUGCCUGGGCGUCACAUAUCGUUGCCCAAUGCCUAUUGCAGUGCAAUAGGAAUUUCUAGGGCGAAUGAUGGCUUCCCGUGAGCGUUGUUGCCUCGCGGUUGGUUGUAAAUCGAGUCCUUGGUAGGGUGUGCCAUGGUAGAUGGUGGUCGAGUUAGAACGAUACCGAUCAUGUGCAUGCUCCCCAAAAUAUGGCCUCUAUGACCCACACGCGUCUUUUGACGCUCAUGACGAGACCUCAGGUCAGGCGGGGCUACCCGCUGAAUUUAAGCAUAUCAAUAAGCGGAGGA